rnacentral:rRNA from 1 species
UACGAAGGGGGCUAGCGUUGUUCGGAGUUACUGGGCGUAAAGGGCGCGUAGGCGGCCCUCCAAGUCGGGCGUGAAAGCCCACGGCUCAACCGUGGAAUUGCGCUCGAGACUGAAGGGCUCGAGGACGGGAGAGGAGAGUGGAAUAGCCAGUGUAGAGGUGAAAUUCGUAGAUAUUGGCUGGAACACCGGUGGCGAAAGCGGCUCUCUGGCCCGGUUCUGACGCUGAGGCGCGAAAGCGUGGGGAGCAAACAGG